CUUCAACGAGAUAUCUCGAAAUAACACGAUCGAACAUAUAAGAUGGCAGCCCGUUAAAGAGUGCAUAUAUGCGUGUAGUUGUUUUGUGCAGUAAUUCUAUAGUUUUUUCUUAACAAUAAUUUACAAAUAGUAAUCAUGGGUACAUCGGAUUUAGAAUGUUUAGAAUCUAAGAGAGAUAUUGUCGGUGUUGAUUCUGAAUCUGACAUGUUGAUUGACCAAAGAAAGAAAAAGAAAAGAAAACAUAAGCACCAUAAGCAUAAAAAAGAUAAAUUAAUUGAAAGGGAAGAUGGAAGGAUAGAACGACAAGAAAGAAAAAGGCAUAAGAAGCAUAAACGACCUAAAAAAGAAAGAGAAGUUGAAAAUGGAUCGUUAGAUGAUAAAUCAUCUCGUGUAAUUCAAAAAGAUAUAGGUGUAAAUGGCAAAGUAAAAAAUUCUUUAUUAGAGGUGGUUUCUACAGAAGAAAGCGAAGAUGAAAAAUUAGUAGAUUUAGAUUCAGAUGAAGUAGAUUGUACAAUCAUUGAAGAUGAUAUCGAUCUUGAAGAGUUGAUGAAACAAAAGGAAAGGUUACAAGCAUGUUUAGUACAAUACCUCUCGGAUGAGUCUGAGAAAGAGGAGAAAGAACCAGACCAGGAUGAAGUAAAAGUUGCAGAAACACCUGAUGUCAUCCUUGUAGAAGAUGAUAGUGAGAAUGACAAUAUACCCCCUAAGAAACGAGCUAGGAGUAAAUCUGGUAGUAGAGAACGUAAAAAGAUAGUGAAACCUGAGAGACGGGUAGUAGUAGACAUGACCAGAGAUCGUAGAAGUCGGGAGGAGCAUAAAGAGAAACGAAGAGAUUCCGAUAGGAGGAGGGAUUCCGAUAAAGUUCGCACUAAGGAGGAAGUAAGAAGAGAAGACAGCAGAAAAGAUGAUAGGCAAGUACGGAAACCAAGCGAUAGGCACAGAGACGAUUCCCGAAAGGAAGAUAAUAAGAGAAGAUCAGAAGACGACAAACGUAAAGAUCCUGUUAAAAGAGAUGAGUCUCGUAAAAGAGAACAAGAUAAACGGGAAGAAGAUCGACGGCGAGAUUCAGAUCACCACAACAAUUCACGAUCCCGAACUGAACAUAAAUCGUUAGAUAAAUCCGAUAAGUCAAGACGGGAUAGUCGUGAUAGAUUAGAGAACCGAGAACGGCAAAGUAGUCGGGAUCGACAUGCUAGUAGAGACCGACAUGUUAGUCGGGAUAGGCAUGGAAGUAGAGAUCGUCAUGCCAGCAGAGACCGGCACGCCAGUCGAGAUCGUCAUGCCAGUAGAGACCGACCGGCAAGUCGCGAUCGUCGCAGUAGGGACAGACCUCCUAGCAGAGAUAGGCACAGUCGCGACAAAAGAGACAGUAGGGAACGUCAUACUAGUCGAGAACGUCACAGAGAUAGUCGGGGAAGUCGCGACCGUAAUGACGUUCGACGGGACAGUCGGAAUCAUGAGAGAAUUAGGGACCGUUCAAGGAGUCCAAGAAGAUCUCGUAGCCCCCUUAGAAGUAGAUUAGACAGAGAUCGAAACGAUCGGUACAAACACUCUAGAUCGUUGUCUCGAAGUCGGAGAGACAGGGACAAACACGCUAGAGAUCACGAUAGGGAUAGAGAGAAAAAUGGUAAAAGGGAACGCGGUGAUAAGUACAAAGACUCUUUGUCGGAGGGACUUAAAGCAGAUCGUUCGGACACUUCGAGUGAAGAGGAUAUCAAAGACAUUGAUAUCGAGGAAGAAGAAGAUGAAGAAGCAAUCAUAGAACGUAGAAGAAAGCAGCGAGAGGCGCUUCUCAAGAGGUUAGGUGGACCAAAUGAAGAUUCAAAUAUGUCUGCCGAUAUAAAUACUGUUCCUGCCACUCCGCCUUCAGAAAGUCAAUCAAACGUAUCACAGAAAUCCAUAGAAAUUCCAUCUAAUAAUAACGAAUCGACUUCAGAAAGUCAUACCCCACCACUGCCUGAGAAACCAAAGUCACCGUUAAUUAAACCAAGAAAAUCUAGAUUUGAGGAUCCACCAUCAGAAGAAGCAGAUAAAAUUGAAGACACAAAACCAGCAGAGAAAGUUAAGCAGGAUGAUAAACAAAAUGCAAAGAAAGCAAAUGAAUGGGACAUGUUUGCUGAGGCAGAUAACAUUGGUGAUUUUAAUAGCCCGACUGUCGAGGGGAAGCGACAAGGUGGACCUGAUAAUCCUAGUUUAACAGAUAAUUGGGAUGAUGCGGAAGGAUAUUAUCGAGUACGAGUAGGUGAAACUUUAGAUUCUAGAUAUGUUGUGUAUGGAUAUACAGGCCAAGGUGUAUUUAGUAAUGUCGUGAGAGCUAGAGACAGUGCUAGAGGAAAUUUGGAUGUUGCCGUAAAAAUAAUAAGGAACAAUGAAAUAAUGCAUAAGACUGGCCUUAAAGAAUUAGAAAUUCUUAGAAAACUUAACGAUGCGGAUCCAGAAGAUAGAUUUCAUUGUUUACGACUUUUUAGGCAUUUCUAUCACAAAAAUCAUUUAUGUAUGGUGUUCGAACCUUUAGCUAUGAAUUUAAGAGAGGUUUUAAAAAAGUACGGGAAAGAUGUUGGUUUACACGUAAAAGCGGUAAGAUCGUAUACCCAGCAACUUUUCCUUGCUCUGAAGUUAUUAAAACGUGCAAAUAUUCUGCAUGCUGACAUCAAACCGGAUAACAUUCUAGUCAGUGAAAGCAAGCUAGUAUUGAAAUUGUGCGAUUUCGGUUCAGCCUCCCAUGCUCAUGAAAAUGAAAUAGCACCGUAUCUUGUAUCAAGAUUUUACCGGGCUCCUGAGAUCAUUCUUGGUACGCCAUAUGAUUUCGGCAUUGAUAUGUGGUCCGUGGGAUGCACCAUAUACGAAUUGUACACGGGAAAAAUAAUGUUCUCUGGGAAAACCAACAACCAGAUGUUGAAAUUCUUCAUGGACCUAAAAGGGAAAAUUCCUAAUAAGCUGAUUAGGAAAGGCACAUUCAAGGAUCUACAUUUUGACUCUAACUGCAAUUUCCUGUAUCAUGAAAUUGAUAAGGUCACUGAGCGGGCGAAAGUUGUAGUGAUGUCGACGAUACCCGCCACUCGUGACCUUGGUGCGGAAUUGGGAGGAAACUCUUUGCCACCUGAACAAAGUCGUAAAGUUGGACAAUUGAAGGAUCUGUUGGAGCGAACGUUGAUGUUGGACGCGGGAAAGAGAAUUACAGUGAACCACGCUCUGGCGCAUCCCUUUAUACAAGAAAAGAUCUAGGUAACCCUGUCCGGGGUCCUUCCACAUCGGAGAAUUCAUUGACGUAAUUUGCAAAAAAUGCUUGAAACGACACCGCUAACGAUUUGUUGUAUACUAUAAAAACAUACUAACAUAAGCGGUGUCUCCUUAUAUUGAAUGUCUUGUAUCCGUUUUAGCAGAAAGAGGCGGUGCAAAAGUUUCACGUUGUCACUAGCUCCGUCUAACAGAACGAAAAAAACAUUCUCCAGAUAAAUAAAAGAAUACAUACGUAUAAGGGAAACAAAUGAUUUGAAUCACACAUAUAACAUUGUACUCUAUCAAUCUGAACUGUAUUAUUUAAUGAAUGAUAACUAUUGCAGGUCAAUAGAGUGCAAUAUUUUUAUAUUAAUUAAAUAACCAGUACGAGCGAUGAAUAAAAAAAAGCUAAUAAUUAAAAAAAAAAAAUGUUGGGAGUUCACCGAUGCAUUUAUCGACGAUCAAAAAACGACACAUGCAUGUUUGUACACAGCUCGAAAUAAUCAGCAAUAAGUAAUAAACCAACGACGAAUACUAGAAGAAGAGGCUUGCCGCAAUUACAUGGUAUAAUUCUUCCGUGGAUGAAAAUGAACUGGGGAUAAAUGUGACCGCCUCUUUCAGCAUGAACUGGCCAUCGAUACUUAGCAUAAAAAUGGUGGUACAUAGUAUUUUUUCUUUUUAUCUUUCAAUUCAAAUUGCGCGACUUCUUUAACGACUAAUUAAUCUCGUAUAAAUUAUUAUAUCAUAAAUCCAUUAAAUGGUAUGUUACGUUCGCGGCGAAGGAUUUCGUGUUUAUGGAAAUUGUAAAAAAAUAAUGAACUUUAACGAAUUUUGAUCGUACGAUUCACGAACAAAUAUUUUUUUUUUUGUUCUUCUUCUGUGUCGUCGCGCAGAUAACGCACGGCAUCGAAGUCUAGUAACAAGGAAACUUGUACUGACAGAGAAGAAACAAAUUGUAUAGUAAGUAGGUUAUUGAAAUAAAACGACACAUGCUUAACAGAAUGAGAAACGAGCCCUGUAUUUCAUACUUUCAGUCUUAAUAAUCACGCGCUAUAUCUCGUGCAGUUAGAAGCACGUGCCGCAACUUAUUUAAAAAAAAAAAAAGAAAAAAAAA